AUGGAUCUGGCAACUGUACCUCGACCUGCAAGUGAGAAGGUACACCUGGCAGUGGGGGAUGAUGCUAAGCAGUGUUGGCUUGCUCUCCGAUGGGCUUUGCACUUCAUCCCACCACAGAUGUUGUUAGUUCUUGUCCACAUCCACAGGCCAAGUACCCCAACCGUAUUGGGAGCUUCAGUGCCAGCAAGUAAGUUGACAGAAGAUCAUGUUAGAGAGCACAGGAUAAGUGAGAGAAACAUGAUCGAGAAGAACUUAGAGGAAUGCUUGCAGAUGUAUAAGGUCAAAGCAGAGAUACUCAUAAUUGACAAAGAUGAUGUGGUCGUUGGACUUGGGGAGGUAGUCAAAGACCAGAAGGUUACCACACUCGUUAUGGGCGUUAAAAGAAGAAAACAUGGCUGGAAGAGCAAGACAGCAGAUGCUUUGGAAAAACAGGCCGACUGCUUGUGCAAUAUUCUGUAUCUUCAUAAGGGAAUUCUUGUUGCGAGCAGGCAUCAGCACACAGACAGGAAAAUUGGCAUUCCUUCUUUGGUAGGUUGCCACUUCUCAGGCAGUAAUAGUAACACCACGAAAUCCUCUUCUUUCUUCAACUCUCGAAGCACCACCGACACCUUUGACACGGAACAUCUUGAUGACCCUUCCCUAGUGAUGAAUUCAACCUAUAUAUACAAUGAUUGUAGAUUCAAUGCUAUAAUUGGUCUCAAGUCAUUUGACACUUUUAAGGAGCUAGUAAAGCAGCAAAUUUUAGCUGAGCACUCAAGGGACUUGUACCAGGCAUUCAACAUCAAAUACUGUGAUAUCUUCACUGGGUGCCAGUUAAUUGGUGGCUUUGACUCACUCAUUGGAGUAGAUCCCCAACAUUUAGGGGAGGAACAUUGGAAAUCCAUCAAGAGCUGGCCUGCAGUGUUGGAGUAUAUUGUCAGUGUUCUCAAGACAUUGCAGAUGCAGCUCCUCAUGCAGAAUCAUCGUGCAUGCAAUGGAUUUACACAUGAUGACCUUUCAGAAGCAGUGAAAAAACCUAUUAGGCGUCUGUUCACUGUUGCUUCAAUUGUAUCUGACCAUGAGGUGCGGAAGUCACCAGAGAAGCUAUUCUGUGUAUUGAACAUGUACACAGCACUCAUAGAUGCUGCCCCCACUCUCAGGAAAGUCUUCUCUACAAAAUCCAUCAGAGAUGUUCUUCAAGAACUGGAGGACUCUGUAAGGGGAAUACUUAAAGAACUUAAAGGCUUAAUUCAGACAUACAACUCACCAAAAGUAGUGCAGGAUGGAGAUAUCCUGCCGAUAUGUGGGUACCUCAUGAGAUACAUCAUGCUCCUAGUGAAGCAUAAAGGUUCACUUGAUACGAUUCUAUCUCAUGAUUACACUGACAGUCUGUUGAAAGUUGAGGGAAUGAGUUUGACAAGUGGUCUAGUAUCUGGGCUCAUUACUGAUCUAGAAUCAGUAAUUGAUAAACAGUCAAAGCAAUGUGCUGCUUCUAAAGGACUCCAAUUCAUAUUCUUGAUGAACAACGUACAUUUGAUACUUCAAGAAGUCAAGCAAUCAGAUGUACAGCUGACUGUAAAAGCCAAGUGGUUUGAGAAACGCCGAUCCUUGAUCAAGGGGUACAUAAAGAGUUACCUAUCUGCAUCAUGGGGACCUGUUACGUCCACCUUGGAGGUUGCAAAAAGCAUGUCUCCCAGUAAAAAGGCAAGGAUAAACUUGCUCAACUUCUGGUACACGGCUCCGCCUCUGACUCCCUUGCAGAGUUUUGCUUCGUCUUUCAAUGAAGCUUGCAGUAGCCAGAUUUGCUUGAAGGUACCCAGUCCAGCUCUUCGAGAUGAGCUUCGUGUAAAGAUCCUUGAGUUUGUUAGUCGAGCGUACCAUGAACACUUGGCAGGUCAGAGACAGUCUGCAGAACAAAAUGCGAGGGAAUUUGAGUCGGAGUGGAAAACCAAAAUUAGUGAUUUGUUUGAAGGAUGA
rnacentral:rRNA from 1 species